AAUCUCAUUAAGUUUAAUUUUUCUAGGUUUAAUUUACAACAUUGUCAGUAUCUACAUUAUACAGCAUGAAUUAGUAGGAUGAAUGAGACACUGGGAAGGCUCUGAAACAAGUGAUCAUGGCCAGAUCAAGAUGCUAUCCCGGAAUUUGCCUGGAGGGUUUGAGGAAAACCACAAAACUGCAAUUAGGAUAGCCAGUGUCCCAGCCAAGAUUUGAAUCAAGAACCUCCAAAAUACGAGUUCUAGAGCAUUACUUGUAUACCAACCAACUGGGUCACAAGUUACUUACCAAUGGUAACCAGUAUAUUUGAACUGUGAAGUGUAUAUUUUAAGCAGUUACAGAAUGCCUUUCAGUUACACACUAUAAUUUUCAAAAUUUGCAGAUGGGUCUGCAAAAAACCAUAAAAUGGAGAAACGUGAACUACAUGUCAUAAUGAAUUCUGAACACCUAAAACCUGCCAGAUCACUUCAACAUAGAAUGCACUAUAAUAUACAUUUGAAAAAUGACAUAAUGCACUUUAUAUAUGCAUAGAGCAUACAUUUCUGUAACAGGUAAAUGGAUAACUCAACUUCUACUGUUUGAGGGCCUAAUGGACUUCGUGCAUCCUCUUCCCAAUUGUUUCCUACAUCUGGUGCUUCAACUAAGUAAAUUCAUAAACCAUAAAUUUUCAAAAGGAAGCGAACUAGUUUGAAUGGCUCUAUUUACGUAUGUAAACCAAAGGUCAGAUAAGUUACAGAAGUUACUGAACUAUCAUGAAUGUCUAACAACAUAAGAAAACAUGAUGUCAUGAUAUCACUUAAUUGGGAAGAGAAUGGCUUGUUUUAAUCUUCAUGGGUCAUAGACAUUAUAAGUUAUCCAACUGGUACUGCUCACAUAUCUCUGGCUUCAUGCAAGAUAUAAUUUAUGACUGGAAAACAAGUUGAAACCAAAUGAAAUGCUGAGCAAUGACAUUUCUCAUACUUCACACCUUCCAGGCUGUUGCAUUGGGUUACAUGUAGUUUGUGUUCUUGCUACAUUUGGAGGUCCCGGAUCAACACCUGGCAAUUUAUUUUGCACACUGUUUGGUUACAGGUGUGAAACAUGGUCUCUUACUUAGGAGGAAGAAUAUAAAUUUCAUGUACAGAUGGUACCUGUGCUGGAUUACAUUUUGUGAAAUGAGGAUGAAGAGCCGUAAGGAGAGGGCACUGUAACGUGUAUACCCACUGCUAAGAAAUAACUUGGCAAACACAUACCCGUGAAGCAUAUGCAUGCAACAGAAGGACGUCCAUUGCUAGAUAAUGAACCAGUAAACAUUCCUUCUUAACAAGAGAGGCUGUUUUUUCUGUGUGGUCCAUGCUGAGGGCUUAUAAAAGGUUACGGUCAGAAGUGAAGAGUCAAGUUUUGAGAUGCCAGCCUGCUGGGAUAUGAGCUUGGGAGCAGAGGAAUUGAAUUGAGUCUAGUCUUCAUAAUUGGCAGUGGCAGAAUAUUGGCAAGAAG